rnacentral:rRNA from 1 species
UACGUAGGGGGCGAGCGUUGUCCGGAAUCAUUGGGCGUAAAGCGCGUGUAGGCGGCCCGGUAAGUCCGCUGUGAAAGUCCAGGGCUCAACCCUGAGAUGCCGGUGGAUACUGUCGGGCUCGAGUCCGGAAGAGGCGAGUGGAAUUCCUGGUGUAGCGGUGAAAUGCGCAGAUAUCAGGAGGAACACCAAUGGCGAAGGCAGCUCGCUGGGACGUGACUGACGCUGAGACGCGAAAGCGUGGGGAGCGAACAGG